UUUUUUUUUUUUUUUUUUUUUUUUUUUUNCCUGUGGCAUAUAGAAGUUCCCAGGCUGGGGGUUGAAUUGGAGCUGCAGCUGCUGGCUUACACCAUAGCCACAUCACCACCAAAUCCUUAACCCACUGAGCAGGGCCAGGGAUUGAACCUGCCUCCUCAUGGAUGCUAGUCAAGCUUGUUACUGCUGAGCCACUACAGGAACUCUAACCCACCACUUUUUUUUUUUUUGGCUUUUUUUAGGGCUGCACCCAAGGCAUAUGGAAGUUCCUAGGCUAGGGAUGCAAUUGGAGCCACAGCUGCCAGCCUCAGCCACAUCCACAGCAACGCAGCUCUGAUUCGACCCCUAGCCAGGGAAGUUCCAUAUGCCAUAGGUUUGGCCCUAAAAAAAUAAAUAAAUAAAUAAAUAAAAGACAAAAAAUAAAAAACAGAACAAAAAGGUAGAGCUGAUUUACAAUGUCAUGCCAAUUUCUGCUCUACAGCAAAGUGACCCAGCCAUAUAUAUUUUUUUUUUCUCAUAUCAUCCCCCAUCAUGUUCCAUCCCAAGAGACUAGACACAGUUCCCUGUGCUGUAGGGUAGGACCUCAUUGCUUAUCCAUUCUAAAUGUAAUAGUUUGCAUCUACUAACCCCAAACUCCCAGUCCCUCCCAUUCCCCCACUUCCCCCCUUGGAAACCCCAAGUCUGUUAUCCAUGUCUGAUGUUUCAAUACUACUUUGAAAGGAGGAAGGAUGGGCAAUCUAAUAUAUGGCACAAAUGAAAGAAAAGAAAAUCAUGGACUUGGAGAACAGAUGUGUGGUUGCCUAGGGGGAGGAGGAGGGAGUGGGAGAGAUUGGGAAUUUGGGCUUAAUAGAUGCAAAUUAUUGCCUUGGGGUGGAUGGACAGUGAGAUCCUGCUAUAUAGCACUGGGAACUAUAACUAGUCACUUAUGCUGGAGCACGAUCAUGUGAGAAAAAGAAUGUAUAUAUGUGUGUGUGACUGGGUCUCCUUGCUGUACAGUAGAAAAUUGACAGAACACUGUAAACCAGCUAUGAUGGAAAAAAUAAAAAUCAUUAAAAAAAAAAAAGAAAGAAAGGAGGCAGGAUAAUGUUCUGGGAAGAGCAGAGUAGGUGUGAGUCCCAACUGUGUCUCUAGCUCUAUGGCCCUGCCAAGUUAUCUGAUCUCUCCAAGCCUCAGUUUCCUAAUCUGUAAAAUGGGGAAAUUAUACCAACCACGGCUGACUAUAUUCAAUCUGUCUGCCCUCAGCGAGUUCUGGGGGCACCAACCCCCACAGUUCGGUCCCAUCCUUUGGCUGCAGGGGAGGUACGUGACCUGGCCUAGACAGUUAAUGGUUGUCUUCCCCCUGUUCACUGAGUGGAUAUAUAACCCUCAU
rnacentral:lncRNA from 1 species